GCUAAUGCCGGAUAACAUGUUGAACCGCAUGGUUCUACAGUGAAAGACGGUCUUGCUGUCACUUAUAGAUGGACCCGCGCCGUAUUAGCUAGUUGGUGGGGUAACGGCCUACCAAGGCGACGAUACGUAGCCGACCUGAGAGGGUGAUCGGCCACACUGGAACUGAGACACGGUCCAGACUCCUACGGGAGGCAGCAGUAGGGAAUCUUCCGCAAUGGGCGAAAGCCUGACGGAGCAACGCCGCGUGAGUGAUGAAGGUCUUCGGAUCGUAAAGCUCUGUUGUUAGGGAAGAACAAAUGUGUAAGUAACUGUGCACAUCUUGACGGUACCUAACCAGAAAGCCACGGCUAACUACGUGCCAGCAGCCGCGGUAAUACGUAGGUGGCAAGCGUUAUCCGGAAUUAUUGGGCGUAAAGCGCGCGUAGGCGGUUUUUUAAGUCUGAUGUGAAAGCCCACGGCUCAACCGUGGAGGGUCAUUGGAAACUGGAAAACUUGAGUGCAGAAGAGGAAAGUGGAAUUCCAUGUGUAGCGGUGAAAUGCGCAGAGAUAUGGAGGAACACCAGUGGCGAAGGCGGCUUUCUGGUCUGCAACUGACGCUGAUGUGCGAAAGCGUGGGGAUCAAACAGGAUUAGAUACCCUGGUAGUCCACGCCGUAAACGAUGAGUGCUAAGUGUUAGGGGGUUUCCGCCCCUUAGUGCUGCAGCUAACGCAUUAAGCACUCCGCCUGGGGAGUACGGUCGCAAGACUGAAACUCAAAGGAAUUGACGGGGACCCGCACAAGCGGUGGAGCAUGUGGUUUAAUUCGAAGCAACGCGAAGAACCUUACCAAAUCUUGACAUCCUUUGACCGCUCUAGAGAUAGAGUUUUCCUCUUCGGAGGACAAAGUGACAGGUGGUGCAUGGUUGUCGUCAGCUCGUGUCGUGAGAUGUUGGGUUAAGUCCCGCAACGAGCGCAACCCUUGAACUUAGUUGCCAUCAUUCAGUUGGGCACUCUAAGUUGACUGCCGGUGACAAACCGGAGGAAGGUGGGGAUGACGUCAAAUCAUCAUGCCCCUUAUGAUUUGGGCUACACACGUGCUACAAUGGACAAUACAAAGGGCAGCGAAACCGCGAGGUCAAGCAAAUCCCAUAAAGUUGUUCUCAGUUCGGAUUGUAGUCUGCAACUCGACUACAUGAAGCUGGAAUCGCUAGUAAUCGUAGAUCAGCAUGCUACGGUGAAUACGUUCCCGGGUCUUGUACACACCGCCCGUCACACCACGAGAGUUUGUAACACCCGAAGCCGGUGGAGUAACCAUUUUGGAGCUAGCCGUCGAAGGUGGGACAAAUGAUUGGGGUGAAGUCGUAACAAGGUAGCCGUAUCGGAAGGUGCGGCUGGAUCACCUCCUUU
rnacentral:rRNA from 1 species